AUUGAACGCUGGCGGCAGGCCUAACACAUGCAAGUCGAACGGUAACAGGAAACAGCUUGCUGUUUCGCUGACGAGUGGCGGACGGGUGAGUAAUGUCUGUGAAACUGCCUGAUGGAGGGGGAUAACUACUGGAAACGGUAGCUAAUACCGCAUAACCUCGCAAGACCAAAGAGGGGGACCUUCGGGCCUCUUGCCAUCGGAUGUGCCCAGAUGGGAUUAGCUCGUUGGUGGGGUAACGGCUCACCAAGGCGACGAUCCCUAGCUGGUCUGAGAGGAUGACCAGCCACACUGGAACUGAGACACGGUCCAGACUCCUACGGGAGGCAGCAGUGGGGAAUAUUGCACAAUGGGCGCAAGCCUGAUGCAGCCAUGCCGCGUGUAUGAAGAAGGCCUUCGGGUUGUAAAGUACUUUCAGCGGGGAGGAAGGGAGUAAAGUUAAUACCUUUGCUCAUUGACGUUACCCGAAGAAGAAGCACCGGCUAACUCCGUG
rnacentral:rRNA from 1 species